rnacentral:lncRNA from 1 species
CUGAGCACUGAAAACGACUGCUUCUGCUUUCAGGAAAUAGAUUAUGUUGCGGUUCCUUCCGUGCAAUACAUUAUAUGGUACUGAGAGUUCUAGAAAUAAGAAAUUUUGAUGCUUGAACUUACCUUGUUACUUUUUCGUCGCUUCAAAAUUGCCACCCCAUGUCAAACAUAGCUGACACCCCGCAUGUGGCGUUCUACAUGGUGUUAAUGACAAACAAUUCUUGCUGAACUGUGAUAGCUUUACUUGUUUAUAACUUUAUAGUCUGAUCUUGUAAAUGUCUUUUAAUACUGCUGAAUUUUGUGUUUGUUGAAAAUUAUCUUUUAAAAUUAUGAUUUGUUUAUUUAUUUAUUUUUUAUUAUUACUUGAAAUAUUUUACAUAUUAAGUCGGAUUCACAAUAUUUUUUUUAUAUGUAAUGUAAUGUGAAUUUGAUUUUUAUUAUAUAUAACCAACAUUUUCAUUCCAACCUGCUGAACCAAACGUGGUGCCAACUUGUGAUAUGUUUUUGAGUUAUAAUAUUUACUGGUUAUCUGUGAUAUCAGAUGUGUUUUAUUUAAGACAAUAAAAUAUGAAAGAUA